UACGCACGCUGGCGGCGUGCUUAACACAUGCAAGUCGUACGGUAAGGCCCUUUCGGGGGUACACGAGUGGCGAACGGGUGAGUAACACGUGAGUAACCUGCCCACAACUUUGGGAUAACGCUAGGAAACUGGUGCUAAUACUGGAUAUGUGCUCCUGCUGCAUGGUGGGGGUUGGAAAGCUCCGGCGGUUGUGGAUGGACUCGCGGCCUAUCAGCUUGUUGGUGGGGUAGUGGCCUACCAAGGCGGCGACGGGUAGCCGGCCUGAGAGGGUGACCGGCCACAUUGGGACUGAGAUACGGCCCAGACUCCUACGGGAGGCAGCAGUGGGGAAUAUUGCACAAUGGGCGCAAGCCUGAUGCAGCAACGCCGCGUGCGGGAUGACGGCCUUCGGGUUGUAAACCGCUUUCAGCAGGGACGAAGCUUUUUGUGACGGUACCUGCAGAAGAAGCACCGGCUAACUACGUG
rnacentral:rRNA from 1 species